AAAUUAACUUCAUUUAAUAAACAUUUUUUAUGUUAAAGGCUUUCACAGCCGGUCUGACAUCUUGUUAGCGUCUUCAUGGGACCUCCAAAGUGCCCCAGCGUGUUUUCACUUGAUUCUUUAUAUCACCACAUUUGUUUUAUCUUAUCACGAGUCAAACCACUCAAACAGUAUAAUUUUUUUAUUAAAUUGUUUAAAAAAUGUUUAUUAAAUUAAGUCAAUUUAGCACAUCAUUAAUUGAAAGUAAAUAUAGAACAGGCAUUAAAUAACUCCAAAGACAAACCGUUUGCCCAUAAACAGCAAUAGAAGUGCUGCAAGCAGCUGGCGAAGGUUCCACAAGCUUUUAUGGGAAAUAAUAUCAAUAAAACAUGAUUAUUUCGAAGUAGUUACAGACUAACAGGCAUCCAUAACAAAUGGUUUGCCCAAAACCAGCGACAGGCGUGCGGCAGCUUAGUGGCAGACACACCAGUGAAGGUGCCAGUAGUAGCUGCUGCUGCUACAUGCUGAGCCUGCUGUCUCUGCAGCUCA